rnacentral:rRNA from 1 species
GACGAGCCACACGAACGUUAUUCGGAAUUACUGGGCUUAAAGGGUGCGUAGGCUGCGCGGAAAGUUGGGUGUGAAAUCCCUCGGCUCAACCGAGGAACUGCGCCCAAAACUACCGUGCUCGAGGAAGAUAGAGGUGAGCGGAACUACGGUGGAGCGGUGAAAUGCGUUGAUAUCGUAAGGAACACCCGUGGCGAAAGCGGCUCACUGGGUCUUUUCUGACGCUGAUGCACGAAAGCUAGGGGAGCAAACGGG